AUUAAUGCCUAGGUAAGAAUAAAUAUAGCAAUUAAAUGUGGUUUUCAAAACCGACCGGCCCUAAAGCAAGUAGCAAAGGGCUUGAUGGUUGGUACCCGAGACCCAAGUUCGAAUCCUAGUUGAUUCACAUUUCAAACUAAGUUUAUUUCUAAAUAAAAUAAACGAAGCAGGUAGCGUGCUGUCUAUCUCUCAAAAAAAAAAAAAAAAUAU
rnacentral:lncRNA from 1 species